GCCUUCUGGUGCACUUGGUGCUUGCUGCUGCACAUUUUAAUUGAUGUAGGCAUGAAGUGGCUCAUUUGGGGAGGAAGCAGUAAACUCAAAGCUCUGCAAACAGGCUGCAAAGAGAGGUUACAGCAGGAGCAUACCUGUUUAGUUGACAGAGUGGUGGAGUGGACGUUCAAGAAGGAAGGAUGCCUGUAUGCCUGCAGCUAAACAUAUCUUCAUGGAAUAUAAACAAACUGCUACGUCUCUAAAGAAACAGAACGAACAGAAGGGUAGAUUCUGGAAGAUAGGCUCAAUAGCUACCAGCCCCUGGAGGACGAAGGCCAACCCUGCAGGUGUUCAACUGAGCUCACUGGGUGUCUUGCCAGUGGAAUCUGAUGUGUGACAAGAGAGGUGACUCAGUCCCUGCUGAUUUUCCUUCUCUAACCAGAGCCAGAGCUCCUUGUGAAAUCCCCAGGAAGAAAAGCAGCUUUGCAAAACCAGGAUGCAAACCUGUGCUCCCCUGACUAUAUCACACACAAAACAUACAUUUAUACAUUUAUGGGCAGCAGUGUGGAGUAGUGGUUAGGGCUCUGGACUCUUGACCGGAGGGUUGUGGGUUCAAUCCCCAGUGGGGGACACUGCUGUUGUACCCUUGAGCAAGGUACUUUACCUAGAUUGCUCCAGUAAAAACCCAACUGUAUAAAUGGGUAAUUGUAUGUAAAAAUAAUGUAAUAGCUGUAUAAUGUGAAAUAAUGUAUAAUGUGAGAUCUUGUAACAAUUGUAAGUCGCCCUGGAUAAGGGCGUCUGCUAAGAAAUAAAUAAUAAUAAUAAUAAUAAAUCACUCACCUUGCACAGCAAUUCCCAUUCUUGAUGCUGCCAAAGGCUUUAUUGGAAUAAAAGUAACUUGCGGGUUAUUAAAAUAAGCCUGCUUUUAUGAAUUAUGUUUAAAUGAUUAAACUAUUGACGAAAAAAGCCAACAACAGAUUUGAACAGUCCCAUGAAUAUAUAGCAGCCCUGUAAUUCUAGUAUUCAAAAUACACACACAAGACAGAGGCACAAAUAAUGACAAUUUGCAGCAGCAAA